rnacentral:rRNA from 1 species
AUUGAACGCUGGCGGCAGGCCUAACACAUGCAAGUCGAGCGGAUGAAGGGAGCUUGCUCCUGGAUUCAGCGGCGGACGGGGGAGUAAUGCCUAGGAAUCUGCCUGGUAGUGGGGGAUAACGUCCGGAAACGGGCGCUAAUACCGCAUACGUCCUGAGGGAGAAAGUGGGGGAUCUUCGGACCUCACGCUAUCAGAUGAGCCUAGGUCGGUUUAGCUAGUUGGUGGGGUAAAGGGCUACCAAGGCGACGAUCCGUAACUGGUCUGAGAGGGUGAGCAGUCACACUGGAACUGAGACACGGUCCAGACUCCUACGGGAGGCAGCAGUGGGGAAUAUUGGACAAUGGGCGAAAGCCUGAUCCAGCCAUGCCGCGUGUGUGAAGAGGGUCUUCGGAUUGUAAAGCACUUUAAGUUGGGAGGAAGGGCAGUAAGUUAAUACCUUGCUGUUUUGACGUUACCAACAGAAUAAGCACCGGCUAACUUCGUG